AUGGCGGAAGCCGUGGUUUUUUAUGUUCUUGAGAAAAUUGGGGAUGCUUUGGCGGAAGAAGGACUAAACUUGUUGAGGUCACAGUUAGGGAGAGAAACGUCAGUUUUACCUGAAAUCAAGGACAGCAUGACACAUCUUAAAAGUCAAUUUAAUAUCACGAAAGCUUUCCUCGCUGAGCAACAAAAUUAUUCGUCACAAGGUGCAGCGUAUGAUGCUUGGCUUGAUGAAGUAAAGAAUGUUGCACACAAAACUGAAGAUGUCAUUGAUGAGUUUACCUAUCUGACUGGGCAAACAUCCAGAAAAGGCAGCAAGUUAAUGGGCCUCUUCCGUCGUUCCACAAACCUUGACGAAUGGCAUGAAAUUGCCAGGCAACUUAAACAGAUUGAGGUCACUCUCCAGAAGCUGAUGAGCACAAGGGAACUUUAUGGCAUUUCAGUAGGUGAACACAAGGGAGACAACAGUCUAGGACAGGAGAGUUACCAGGAACUUUGGUCGGACUCCACAUAUUUUGAUACCGAAGAGGAUAUUUUUGGGAAUAAAGAAGAGAAGGCAAAACUUAAUCAUUUGUUGAUGCAUGGUCCAGAAACUCGAAAUAUAAUCGCCAUCUGUGGUAUGGGUGGGAUAGGGAAAACAACUCUGGCUCGUGGCAUAUACAAAAAUAAAGAAAUUGAAAAUGCCUUUAAUUGCCGUGCAUGGAUUACAAUGUCCCAGAAGUAUAAGGUUGAAGAUUUGUUGAGAGGAAUACUCAGACAGGUCAGGGAGAAGAAUGUGAACAUCCAUGAUCAGAUUGACACAAUGGACAGAGUAAAUUUGGUACAAACACUAAGAAGUUACCUGCAGGACAAAAAAUACUUGGUUAUGUUGGAUGACAUGUGGAGUCGAGAUGCUUGGGCACUAUUGAACCAUGCACUUCCUGAAAACAAUAUAGGAAGCAGAAUUGUCAUCACAACUAGAAUUGAAGGUGUUGCAUCGAUAGUAAACAAUGAUUGUCGUAUUGAGCCAAAACGCCUGCCAUGGAAAGAUGCAUGGGAUCUCUUCUGCCACAAAGCAUUUCAGAGGAUCGAUGGGAAAAGAUGUCCAGAAUUCCUGAAUCACUUGGUUGAGAAAAUUAUUCAAAAAUGUGACGGAUUACCCCUUGCUAUUGUUGUUAUUGGAAGCCUCCUGAACUACACUAACGCAGAUGAGAAGGAGUGGAAUAUGUUCUAUAGUCAGCUUAGUUGGCAUAUCGAUAAGAACCCAGAGCUGAACCAUCUGAAAAAUAUUCUCAGUCUCAGCUUUAAUUCCUUACCAGGAAAUCUAAAAAACUGCUUCAUGUAUUGUUGUUUGUUCCCUGAAGAUUAUCUUAUUAGAAGGAAACGGAUUAUUCGGCUAUGGAUAGCUGAAGGGUUUGUUGAGGAAAGGGGUGCCGGUACUACUUUGGAGGAAGUGGCUGAGGAAUACCUUCAAGAGCUUGUUCAUCGUUCACUUCUUCAAGUUGUAGAGAGGAACCAGAGUGGUAGAGCAAAAGGAUUCCAGAUGCAUGAUAUUGUAAGAGAGAUAACUAUAGCAAGGUGCAGAAGUGAGAGAUUCUCUCUUGUUGCAGAAGAUCCCCGACAGACAAAACUUGGGAUUGAAGCUCGUCGAGUUUCUGUACUGAAGGGUGCGGAAGCUGUGGAAUCUGCUGCAGGUGCAAGACAGCUCCGGUCUUUUCUUUUGUUUGAUGAGAAAGUGAACGAUGCAUGGUUUCAGAAAGCUUUUGCAAAUUUCAGAUUGCUCACGGUGUUGUCAUUGGAAGGGGCAAACAUUGAGAAGCUCCCCGAUAUCGUAACUGAUCUCUUCAAUUUGAACUAUCUUGAUCUAAAGGGCUCUAAAGUUAAAGAGAUACCCAAGUCAAUCGGUAAGCUAAGAAAGCUGCAGUUAUUGAAUAUUGAAGGUACGAAUGUAAUGGAAUUGCCAGGUGAAAUAAGGAUGCUGACCAAGCUCCGCUUGCUAAGAGCUGGUUGUGCCGUUGCUGGUGAAGGGUUUAUCGUCUUUCGAGCAGUCAGAUUACUCUCCCAAAUUUAUCAUCUAAAUGAUUUACAGGUACUGGGAGACAUAGUAGCAAGUGAAGGUUUAGUUGAUAAUCUCGGAAAGUUGACACAACUGCGUAGUUUUGGGAUAUUUGUUGAGAAAAUAAAAUAUCUGAAGAACAUAUGCACUUCCAUCAGAAGAAUGCCAAACCUUGUUAGGUUCGGUAUUGUCUCAUGCAUCGAGGAGCUUGUACUUGACCUCGACAACUUUGGUCAUGUUCCAAGUCUGGAAUGGCUGCGCUUACGCGGGAAGUUGCAUGGAGGGGUUGCACUACCUAUGCUCUUCAGUUUCACUAAAUUGACAUUCUUGAGUUUGGAGUGGUCCAGGCUGCAGGUGGAUCCUCUUCCUUCCAUCUCACACAUGUCAAACCUAGGCCAACUUUCACUUCAGAGGGCCUAUGACGGGCAACUGCUGACCUUCCGAGCAGGAUGGUUCCCCAAGCUCAAGGAAUUGCACCUGAUUCACAUGGAGCAUCUCAACUUUAUUGAAAUGGAGGCUGGCACCAUGCAAAACCUGGAUUAUGUACAGCUUAUUGAUUUGAGAAGCAUGAUCACUGUUUCACACGGGUUCCAACAUUUGACUUCUGUACAAAAGUUGGUCCUUGCGGACAUGCCAGAAGAAUUCAUUGAAAGUGCAAGAGGAGAGGACUGGGUCUACAUUCAGCACAUUCCUAGCGUAGUGAAUAUCAAGAUUGAAAAAUAG
rnacentral:rRNA from 1 species